rnacentral:rRNA from 1 species
GACGGAAGGUGCAAGCGUUGCUCGGAAUCACUGGGCGUAAAGGGUGCGUAGGCGGCUUCUUAAGUCUGGUGUGAAAGCCCAGGGCUCAGCUCUGGAAGUGCACUAGAAACUGGGAAGCUUGAGUACCGGAGGGGAGAGUGGAAUUCCUGGUGUAGCGGUGAAAUGCGUAGAGAUCAGGAGGAACACCCGUAGCGAAGGCGGCACUCUGGGCCGAUACUGACACUGAGGAGCGAAAGCGUGGGGAGCGAACAGG